GUUCUCCCUUCUGCUGCCCAAGCAAGGUCAGUGCCCAGAGGAGUGCUAGAGAGAUUUGGGAAGAAACUGUGGCUUUCAUUCAGAGAAAUCCUGCUCUGCUCUCUUUUUGGGAUAGAGGACCUCCACCUCCUGAGGACAGAGCUUUAGCCAUGCUGUCCACAGCUGCUCAGAGGUCACCAUGCUAGUGAGCCACACUGGUGAGCCAUGGUUUUGAGCUGUGUCCUCUGGACCCGUGAGAAUGAAGGGCUGGAGAUGCCAUCAGCACACCAUGCCCUGCAAUUCUGGCACCCAGGAGGGAUCUUCCUACCUUCCAGUCCCACCUGGCUCUCACUUAGAGGGCUGCCACUGGUGGGACUGACCGUGUUAGCGAUCAGCACCAGCAGGGUGGCCCAUGGGCCAUUUGUCUCUGUUAUUGUCUUUGUGACUGUCAAAGCCUGCACCUCCAGGUGCCCCAUUGGCCCGGGGCUGGUCACACAGCACUUCCCUGCCCUGCUGUGAAACCCACCUGUAGCACUGACAGCAGAGAUGCUCCCAUCCCAUCCCCUCCAACAUCAACCCCUCACCCAUCCCCGCUUCUCAAGCAGGAACACGCAGCAGUGUAAGAUGAGCUCAGGAGGGUCAGGGCUAGCCUUUGUUUCACCUCCCAUCCAUUACUUCACUUCCCCCCUAUCUCAAGUCCAUAACCUUUACCAGCAAUGGAACGAAUUGCAUGAGAAAGUUCGGGGGAUGGCAGGAACAUCUGGGCCACAUACUUGGUCUUUACUGAUGCAACAUGAAUACAUCAGGUACAGAUUCCAUUUCCCACCAGGAGAACCCCAAACCUGGAACUUGUCACAUCCACAGCCCUGAUGCGGUUCCUUUGAAGAGGUUUGGCUAAUGUAAUCAUGCAGAUAACCACCCUGACUUAAGUAUCAUUUGAUAUUGUAACAACAGAAGCAAUUAUUUUCCUCGGCAUAAGGGUGACCCAACUUUGGAGGAACACCUCCAAAAGCUGUAGACCUCUGUGAACCAUCCCAACAUGGCUGGUUAACAUUUAAUCAAACAAACAAAAAGCACAGAAUAAAAUCGACGAUUAAUGAGCA
rnacentral:lncRNA from 1 species